AGUGAACGCUGGCGGUAGGCCUAACACAUGCAAGUCGAACGGCAGCACAGUAAGAGCUUGCUCUUACGGGUGGCGAGUGGCGGACGGGUGAGGAAUACAUCGGAAUCUACUUUUUCGUGGGGGAUAACGUAGGGAAACUUACGCUAAUACCGCAUACGACCUACGGGGGAAAGCAGGGGAUCUUCGGACCUUGCGCGAUUGAAUGAGCCGAUGUCGGAUUAGCUAGUUGGCGGGGUAAAGGCCCACCAAGGCGACGAUCCGUAGCUGGUCUGAAAGGAUGAUCAGCCACACUGGAACUGAGACACGGUCCAGACUCCUACGGGAGGCAGCAGUGGGGAAUAUUGGACAAUGGGCGCAAGCCUGAUCCAGCCAUACCGCGUGGGUGAAGAAGGCCUUCGGGUUGUAAAGCCCUUUUGUUGGGAAAGAAAAGCAGCAGGUUAAUACCCCGCUGUUCUGACGGUACCCAAAGAAUAAGCACCGGCUAACUUCGUG
rnacentral:rRNA from 1 species